rnacentral:rRNA from 1 species
CGGAUUGUAGUCUGCAACUCGACUGCAUGAAGCUGGAAUCGCUAGUAAUCGCGAAUCAGAAUGUCGCGGUGAAUACGUUCCCGGGUCUUGUACACACCGCCCGUCACACCAUGGGAGCCGACAACGCCCGAAGUCAGUGACCUAACCGAGAGGGAGGAGCUGCCGAAGGCGGGGUUGGUAACUGGGGUGAAGUCGUAACAAGGUACC